CCUAUGGGCGGCAGCAGUGAGGAAUAUUGGUCAAUGGACGGAAGUCUGAACCAGCCAUGCCGCGUGCAGGAAGACGGUUCUAUGAGUUGUAAACUGCUUUUGUCCAAGGGUAAACCUGAAUACGUGUAUUUAGCUGAAAGUACUGUACGAAUAAGGAUCGGCUAACUCCGUGCCAGCAGCCGCGGUAAUACGGAGGAUCCAAGCGUUAUCCGGAUUUAUUGGGUUUAAAGGGUGCGUAGGCGGAUUGAUAAGUUAGGGGUGAAAUGUCCGGGCUUAAACCGGGAACUGCCUCUAAUACUGUUGAUCUAGAGAGUUGAAGCGGUAGGCGGAAUGUAUGGUGUAGCGGUGAAAUGCUUAGAGAU
rnacentral:rRNA from 1 species